rnacentral:tRNA from 1 species
UGCAUGUAUGGCUGAGUGGUAAAGCGGCGGACUCAUAAUCCGUUUUCAUUAAUUUUCGCAGGUUCAAACCCUGCUGCAUGCAA